CGCUUUGAUGAAUUAAAGUAAAACUUUGUCAGCAUUGUUUUGAUAGAUCUUCCAGGCUACGCUUUACUUACUUUAAUUUGUAUCAAAGGUGUUUGAGGGUUUCGGUUAAGGACCUGAGCUCUAUUAAUAGUUGAUUGUUAAUUUCUGAUCAACCGAUAAGUUUUCGAAUUCGAUAAAAUUUGAUGGAAAUCCUUCUGCACGCGUGAAGCGCGGGCAUGAAGGCUAGUAUAGAAUAAAGGCGGCUUUAUCUUUAAAUGUUUGUGUACAAACUUAUUACGGCUUUAGGUGUCCAGAAACUCUGAUUAGUUACCCCGAUGUGACUUCUCUGAAGCUAAAAGCCUAGAUCAACCUCAUCCCCCAUUUCUCUCUCUCAUUACUAUUCCAAUGGAGAAUCAUCACAUUUCCAACGCCGACCACGAGCGGAGGAAUUCUCCGAGCGCUUCCUCUGCUGCGUCUGCUUGGAUCUUCUGUACAAACCUAUAGUGCUCUCGUGUGGCCACAUUACGUGUUUCUGGUGCGUGCAUUGAUCCAUGAAUGGUGAACAUAAGUCUCAUUGCAUGCACUGUAGCCAUCCCUAUCAUCACUUUCCGGCUAUCUGUCAAUUGCUUCAUUGUUUACUGCUCAAGCUGUAUCCUGUUUCCUCUAAGAGACGCGAAUCGCAAACUUUAGAACAAGAGGUGAAAACUGGCGUCUUCUCACCACAGUUGGAUGUUCAAGCUUGGAGCUCACAAGCUAAUCAAGACUCGAAUGUUCUGGGGGACUUUAUUAGCAAAGAGUUGACUGCAAAUAUGGAGACAACAGGUUGUGUUUCAUAUGGUCAGAAUGAUGGCUCGGCUGUCUCUAGGCUAUGAGGGAAAGGAGAAUGUUACUGAUCAUGUGAAGAACUCCCUGUUAAGUCAUCAGCAGAGUGGAAGCUCCCAGCAGAUUUCAGUGGCAGAUGUGCUAUAUGCUGCAUGCAAAGAUCUAGUGUUUCGUCCUGUGGUUCUCAACUGUGGCCAUGUAUAUUGUGAAAGUUGUAUCGUCGACCCAGAUGAACAGAAGCUUAGAUGUCAAGUUUGUCCAAGUUUCCAUCCAACUGGAUAUCCAAAAGUGUGUUUGGAUCUGCACAACUUUUUGGUCGAACAGUUUCCCAAAGAACUUGCACGUAGAAGAGAUGAUGUACAGCUUAAGCAUGUUAAUCCAACUGCAUGUGUGUCAACUGAAUGCUCAAUUCCUUUUUAUUAUGCAGCAUAAUAUGAUACUAAUUCAUUCAUCAUUUAAACAU